UCGGGAAUUUUGGGCAAUGGGCGAAAGCCUGACCCAGCAACGCCGCGUGAGGGAUGAAGUAUUUCGGUAUGUAAACCUCGAAAGAAUGGGAAGAAUAAAUGACGGUACCAUUUAUAAGCUCCGGCUAACUACGUGCCAGCAGCCGCGGUAAUACGUAGGGAGCAAGCGUUGUUCGGAUUUACUGGGCGUAAAGGGCGCGUAGGCGGCGCGGUAAGUCACUUGUGAAAUCUCUGAGCUUAACUCAGAACGGCCAAGUGAUACUGCUGGGCUAGAGUGCGGAAGAGNCAACCGGAAUUCUUGGUGUAGCGGUGAAAUGCGUAGAUAUCAAGAGGAACACCUGAGGCGAAGGCGGGUUGCUGGGCCGACACUGACGCUGAUGCGCGAAAGCCAGGGGAGCAAACG
rnacentral:rRNA from 1 species